UACGAAGGGUGCAAGCGUUAAUCGGAAUUACUGGGCGUAAAGCGUGCGUAGGCGGUUUCUUAAGUCUGCUGUGAAAGCCCCGGGCUCAACCUGGGAAUGGCGGUGGAUACUGAGGAGCUGGAGUACGGUAGAGGAAGGUGGAAUUCCCGGUGUAGCGGUGAAAUGCGUAGAGAUCGGGAGGAACACCAGUGGCGAAGGCGGCGAUCUGGGAAGAUACUGACGCUGAGGUGCGAAAGCGUGGGGAGCAAACAGG
rnacentral:rRNA from 1 species